rnacentral:lncRNA from 1 species
CUCCCAAAGAGGAAAGAAUAUUUUACCAGGGAAAUAUUAGUUAAUUCUAGAAUUGCUCCCAUUGCAGGAGGAGAUUGCAGAUGGAGGUGUUGUAUGCGACUGUUUUACAUGGAUUCUUCGCUCUGGUAGCAGAUGUUGAAGAAGCUCUGUGAAUGUCUGUCUCUAUGUCCCAGUCAAAAGUGAGAAAACAGAGGGAAAAUGAGGCAAUUAACAAAGAUACAAAUAAUUCCAGAAGAUUUCAGCAUAGCAGAUAAAAUACAGCAAAUCCUAACCAGCACAGGUUUUAGUGACAAACGGGCCCGUUCCAUAGACACAGAUGAUUUCAUCAGGUAAUUACAUUUUUGUGUUCGUAAGCGUUUACACGUCUUUACUGUGACACCUUCAGAUUAGAGAUUUUAAAGGCUUUUAAGCGGUAUAAGGUGCUACCUGGGAUAGUUAUUGCAUAGCACUUUCAUGGCAUGGAAUAGUGUUUGGUGUAGAAGAUGAA